CACUGCCCAAAUGCGAGACGAAAACAAGGAUUAUCUCGACACAGCUGAGAAGCUUGGAAACAUUUCCUGAGAACACUUUGCGCACUUCCUCGGAGAUAAAUUGAGCAUGAGAUCAUCGGAGCGUCAUGACAGUUGCAAUAUUUUGAAAACUCAUUAAGGAAACAAUACGGAGAUCAUCUCCAAUCAAUUUACCCAAUCUGCGUGAGAAGUGUCUUGCAACAUCGUGCAAGAUGGCAGAUGCAUCAGAUCAAGAGGUUUCAAGCACAAACAAUAACACCGAAGGAAAUGGACUUUGCAGUGGCUCAGGCAACAAGAACGAUUUUGUUGAAUUUGAUGACAAGUCCAACCUCCCAACAUCAACCACGAGCGAUGACUUGUCAGAAUCUAGUAUGACGUCCAGGGAAAACUUCACUUUAGGAAGUCUCAAGAAAGAUGACAGUGGUAUUGACAUGGAGAAGUCUCCAACUACAAGUGCAAAAGAGAUGUCAGAUGCGGAGUGCAGUGAAUCACUGAAUGACAGUGCUGCUUGUUCACAAAGUGAAUCGGUCAGUGAUGUCAAAUGGGAAGAUGUAAAAGCUAAAUCAGAAGAAACAUCAGAUGUAGGGAUCGAUUCAUCCGAAAGCACAGGUAUGCGUGAUUGUAAUGACACCGAUGAUAGUGAAAAUGUUGCUACCUCUAAUAUGACUGAGUCUCCCGUUACUAGUCCACAUCAUGAUGUCAGUGAUACAUCCACAAAUAUUGUUGCAGAUGACUCCGAAACAAACACGGGAUCCCCUGGCACACGUAAGCGAAGGCAUGAGCGUAGCAAUUCAUCCUCAAGUGACUCUGAGGACAGUGACAAUGAAAAUGCUGACACCGGCAAGAAGAAAGAAUCUGAAUCUGAAAGUGAGGAUGAGAUGGACGUUGAUGACGAUGGCAUCAGACCACGUCAUAAAUGGAGAGCUGUGUCAGACUUGCGUGAUCGAGAGUAUGGUUACACCAAUAGAUCACCUCCAUCCUUAUUUCGUGAGAAGAUUCAGGGUAGUCUUCAAAUGGUACAAAGACUAAAGUUACAGUAUAGGAUGGAAUAUCAUGAGGGAUGCGUCAACGCUUUACACUUCAACAGAAUCGGCACACUGCUGGCGAGUGGGUCUGAUGAUCUCAACAUAGUGCUGUGGAACUGGCUCAGGAAUCGGCCGGCCCUUGUGUAUGACAGUGGCCACAGGAGCAACGUCUUUCAGGCAAAGUUCAUGCCGUAUAGUGGUGACUGUCAUGUUGUCAGCUGUGCACGGGAUGGGCAAGUGAGGCUGGCGGAGUUAUCUCUCACUGGUGUGUGCAAGGGCACCAAGAAGCUGGCCCAACACAAGGGGGCAGCACACAAGCUGGCCCUGGAGUUCGACUCGCCUCACCUGUUUCUCAGCUGUGGGGAGGAUGCGAUGACGUACGAGAUGGAUCUCCGACAGGACAAGCCUAACAAACUGAUAACAACCAAAGAAAAUGACCGGAAGGUAGCUCUGUACUCCAUCCACUCCAACCCACGCAACUCUUUCGAGUUCUGUGUGGGAGGUCGGGAUCACUACAUCAGAGUCUAUGACAAGAGAAGGAUUGCAGAGGAUGUCAAUGGCGGAGUGCUGAAGAAAUUUUGCCCUCAUCAUCUGUUGGACAGUGAUGUGAAGGCCAACGUGACCUGUGCCUGCUACAACUACAAUGGAACAGAGGUGCUGGGGACAUACAAUGAUGAGGACAUCUACCUGUUCAACAACUUCCACUCCGACGGGGCAGAGUUCACACAGAGGUACCGCGGUCAUCGCAAUAACGCUACAGUGAAGGGAGUGAACUUCUAUGGGCCUAAGAGUGAGUACAUCGUGAGCGGCAGUGACUGCGGCCAUGUGUUUCUGUGGGACAAGGAGACGGCCAAGAUCGUCAACUUCAUGGAAGGCGAUGAAGGAGGUGUGAUCAACGUGCUGGAGCCCCAUCCCUUCGCACCGAUCCUGGCUACGAGUGGGUUAGACCAUGAUGUCAAGAUCUGGGCACCCACAGCGGAGGAACCAACCCGACUGAAGGGACUGAGGAAGGCAGUGAAGCGGAACUGUAAAGAGAGAGAUGAGGAGAGAACGCAAGAGCCGGAGAUGAUCGAUGGGCAGAUGCUGUGGUUUAUCAUGCACCACUUCCGGCGCUCAGCCAGGAGGAGGUUGCGUCAAGAAGGGGAAGAGGUGUCGAGUUCCAGCGAAAACAGCGACUCUGAUUCUGAUGAGGAAGAGGCUGAGGACCCUGAAAGACUACAAUGUACCCCGUCCUAGUCAUGUGAUGGUCAUGUGACACGCAUGUUGUCAAAUGCAUAAGAUGUUCUAGCCACGUCACAUGACAUGGAUUAUGUGACAGUCACAUGGCAUCAGAUGGUCAUGUGACUUGAAAUCCUAGCUGUGUUGCAGUUACUUGUUGCAUGUGUGACCACUGCCAGUUUGCAUUACAAAUAAGACAUUGUUGGGAUGAUCAUGACACCACAAGGCAUUUAAUGCUAUCAGUGCAUCACCAUUAUAACACAUGGCAGUACAGCAUUGAAGAAACGCCCUCACUUUAAGGCAGGUGGAGGAACUUGAAAAUAGCAAGUUUCAGGAAUCUGCAGAAUUCGGAAAACAUUUUGGAAGAAUCAGUUAUGAAAUUUAUUAAGAUCCGAGAACGUUACCUUCAAAUUAUAGCUUUGUUUACGAUGAGAUAAUGUCACCAUAUUGAAUUAACUAAACAGUCUUUUUCUGUGAAUAUUGUAAAAACAGUUGAGUUCAGAAGAUCAGUUUAGCCUAUGUAUAUGUGAGGUAUAGUGGUGUGAAUAUCUCUGCUCACAACCCUGCUAGCUUGUGUGUAGUGUGUUUCAAGGAAGUAAGCAGUUGAUACGUAUCACCGGUACUGAACUUACAAGGAGGGAAGAGCUGCUUUCACUUCAAGAACGCCCCCAUGGUUGCUGUUUCGUGUUCUCUGAAGAUACCUGGUUUUGGAUCUGUGCUAAAUGUGAUAAUCAUGCAGAAAUAUGUGGUGAAAAUGACCUGAAAGAAGCUUCUUGUAAGUCUGAGCUAUGGCUAAAAUUCUCCCAGAAAGUAACUCUUCUUCAACUUGGAAAAUUGACUUUUCUUUGGUCUGUUUUAGGAACACAUUUAUGACUUGUCUGAACAUUAUCACCAGAUGUGGCAGGCAGAAUAUUAGGAUCAGAUGGACUUAGGUUUGAUCUGCCUCACCAGAGAGAUGGUUCUACAGGGAUGGAAAUUAACUCAAUGGAUUAGUGGGAGUUUUUCACUGUAAAGGUUACUAAUAUGAUAAAAUAUGAAGACUUUGAAAUUAUAAUCUUUUAUUUGCCAUAAGCACAUUCUGUUGUUAAGGUUCAGUGACAAUGUAUAGGUUGGUAAAUUCGAAAAUUGUGUACAUUAUUCAUUACAAGAAAGACUUGAACGAUUGUGCCAAAUGUUUAUCGCAGCAAUUUGAGAGGGUAAACCGAUAGGGUGAUAGAUAAUUUACAGCUUAUGUCAAAAAAAGUUACAGGGCUAGUAGACAUAAUUUUUUAGCCCAAAGUAAUUUCGACUGGCCUUGGGCCUACGGUCAAGCAUUAAUUUCCAUCCCUUGUUUCUACAGUCAAUAUGCUGAUUUGUACACAGAACAAGAACAGAGCAUCGUGAUGCAGGAAACAUGGGAACAUUCUUGACGAACUUCUCCUUGACGCAGUUCAUGCCAUAGCAACCUAGAGAUUCAUUCAUUAUUCUUAUGAGUAUUUGCACUGCUGUGUAAAGUUUAAAAAGACAAAUUUACUAGAAAUAGAUUAUUUUUCAAAUUUUCAAUUGAAAAUCAUCAUCAAAGAGAGCAUUCUCAUAUCGUGAUCCCAGCUUCGAUAUAUUAUGCUAGGUGAUAGUUUGACAGCAACUGUAACUCAUAGCUUUAAUGAAACAUAGAUGGGUGACUUACUGUACGACAUGUAAAAUCUGUACAUAUUGUAUGCUUGUAUGCUAAUAUUGUGUGACGUUAUUGAGUUUGAAGAUGUAUGAUCCUGUGUUCCUGUAUAAUCUCUACAGUUUGCCAUAUCAGCUAGAUCUAACAUUUUAUAUUUUGUUUCUGGUGUCCAGUGUUCCUGCAUUUAGAUACUCCUAUGCUGGAUUGAGUAAUGGCAGUUGAGGACAAGCUAGGUGUGAUUUUGUUAUUUUUGCAUGCCGUGUUGGCGACAUGUUGAUAAUGUUUGUAAGUGCAAGGCUUCGAGUUCACUUUGUAGAAUUGCUCCUAGAUAAUGAAGUGUAUUCCAGAAUCUUUUUGGGUGCUGUGAUAAAGUUCUGCCCUGAAAGUGUUCCUUGUGUUGAAAAAGUAGAAUAUGGAUCCCAAAUGGGUCAUGCUUUUUGCGACUAACGGGAUUGGGUGGUCAGACUCACUGACUUGGUUGAUGCAUGUCAUCGAUCCCAAUUGCGUAGAUCGCAGCUCAUGAUGUCAAUCACUGGAUAGUCUGGUCCAGAAUCGAUUAUUUACAGACCGCCGUCAUAUAGCUGGAAUAUUGCUGAGUGCGGCGUUAAACAACAAACAAACAAAAGAAACAAAAACAUGUUUUUUUAAAGAGGUGAGGUAAAAUGGGGUUUAUGAUCCAACCACGAGCCUUAGAGGCGACUAUGAUGGGGGUCAGGGGGUCACAAUGGGUACUGAGUGGUGGUGGUAUUUGGCUGGAUGACCACAAUCGUCGAGGUACAACUGCUUUAAGUAAUGUUGACGCAUGGGAGUCGGAUCACUUAGAUUGUGUGAUACCAGACCCUUGAGUUCUGCUCUUGUUUUCGACAAAUGAUUUGCGAUGCGGGCUCAAUGACAGAUUGCAGUGAUACAGCUUUUCUAUUGCUCACUGUGGCAGUGUCCCUACAUUCACCAGCACACUCCCUCAUUGUCUAUCCCUGACCCACGCCCUUCAAUCACAAGACCAAAUGAAUACAUUACGACUCCCUACACAGUAUUGUACAUCUGACAUAGAUCAUUUUUAAUGGGGAUCUGACUGAUAUCAGUAUACUGUGUCUGAGUGGGGUAUUCAUGUUAAACUGC
rnacentral:misc_RNA from 1 species